rnacentral:hammerhead_ribozyme from 1 species
UGCUGACGAGUCCCAAACAGGACGAAACAGCUGUACA